UGAGCCUGUCGGUUUCGCACAGUGGCUGCACGACACCUCAUGGACCCGAUGUGAAGGACAAGUAAGCCAUCCACACGAAGUCGGCGGCAGCAAGGGUGUGGGGCGUCGGGAGGAGCAUCUGGGUUGAAGGUUCUGGCCCUCGCCAUUGAGACUACCGUGUUCGUCGCCGAGUACAUCUGGGGAAGGUGGAGCUGCGAGGAAACAAGACAGGUGGACAAUGCGACAGGAAGCAAGAAUGAAUUUCUAAUCAAUCUACUG